UACAGAGGCCCCAAGCGUUACUGAGAAUCACUGGGUUUAAAGGGUGCGUAGGUGGUCCGUUAAGUUCGUUGUGAAAUCCCUGGGCUCAACCCAGGAAAUGCUUCGAAUACUGGCGGACUUGAGGCUAGUAGGGGUCACUGGAACUGACGGUGGAGCGGUGAAAUGCGUAGAUAUCGUCAGGAACGCCAAUGGUGAAGACAGGUAGCUGGGGGUGUGCUGACACUGAGACACGAAAGCCAGGGGAGCAAACGGG
rnacentral:rRNA from 1 species